rnacentral:lncRNA from 1 species
CUCACAAACUCUGAAAUUAUGGUUCAUUGUUUUUAAAGUUGUUUGAUAUUGUAAAGCCCAAAAUCUGCCCGGGCCCAUACCAGCAAACCCCCCACUUGCCCACUUGCGCCGUUGCCCCAUGUGCGCAACCACUCAACCUCGCACGCCUCUGCUCCGCGCCAGCCUCCACGCAUGCCCAUCACCGUCUGCACCCCAUGCCUCUGUCACCUCCAUCGUGCCCAUCCCAUGCAAAGAGACAAAACAGAAACAAUAGGAAAUUAGAUGAAAAUGGGUUAUAAAAACCCGAAUCAAAAAUUGUACGGGAGGAUUUUUUGAUUUUUUGGGGAUUUUUUCCUUUCAUUUUCGAUUGUAACAUUACUUAAAAAUACGAGAGUAAAAGCAGAUUCAAGCAAGAAAAACACCCGAAAACAAAAAAGGCAGUCAGAUCUAAGGUUUCUUUUAUUUUUUAUUAUUCAAAAACUCAUCUAUCAUAUAUCUUUACAUAGCAUAAGUUUAUAAAAAAGCAGUCAACAAAAAAAAAAUUUACCUUUCCGGCCACCGCGUGCGGUGGCCGGCGCCGGCGCCGGCGAGCCUCCGGUGGCCGUCCGGUGACCCCCCCUUGGCCGGAAAUCGCUCCGUGCCCUCCCUCUCCCUCUUUCUUUCUUUUUUUUUCCCUCA